GAUGAACGCUGGCGGCGUGCCUAAUACAUGCAAGUAGAACGCUGAAGGAAGGAGCUUGCUCUUUCCGGAUGAGUUGCGAACGGGUGAGUAACGCGUAGGUAACCUGCCUGGUAGCGGGGGAUAACUAUUGGAAACGAUAGCUAAUACCGCAUAACAGUAGAUGUUGCAUGAUAUCUACUUAAAAGGUGCAAUUGCACCACUACCAGAUGGACCUGCGUUGUAUUAGCUAGUUGGUGAGGUAACGGCUCACCAAGGCGACGAUACAUAGCCGACCUGAGAGGGUGAUCGGCCACACUGGGACGGAGACACGGCCCAGACUCCUACGGGAGGCAGCAGUAGGGAAGCUUCGGCAAUGGACGGAAGUCUGACCGAGCAACGCCGCGUGAGUGAAGAAGGUUUUCGGAUCGUAAAGCUCUGUUGUAAGAGAAGAACGAGUGUGAGAGUGGAAAGUUCACACUGUGACGGUAUCUUACCAGAAAGGGACGGCUAGCUACGUG
rnacentral:rRNA from 1 species